rnacentral:rRNA from 1 species
GGUUAAGUUAAUAAGGGCGCACGGUGGAUGCCUUGGCACUAGGAGCCGACGAAGGACGUGACAAACGACGAUAUGCCUUGGGUAGCUGUAAGUAAGCGAUGAUCCAGGGAUUUCCGAAUGGGGGAACCCAACAGGUAGCACCUGUUACCCACAUCUGUUAAGGAUGUGAGGAGGAAGACGCAGUGAACUGAAACAUCUAAGUAGCUGCAGGAAGAGAAAGCAAAAGCGAUUGCCUUAGUAGCGGCGAGCGAAACGGCAGAAGGGCAAACCGAAGAGUUUACUCUUCGGGGUUGUAGGACUGCAAUGUGGACUCAAAGAUUAUAGAAGAAUGAUUUGGGAAGAUCAGCCAAAGAGAGUAAUAGCCUCGUAUUUAAAAUAGUCUUUGUACCUAGCAGUAUCCUGAGUACGGCGGGACACGUGAAAUCCCGUCGGAAUCUGGGAGGACCAUCUCCCAACCCUAAAUACUCCCUAGUGACCGAUAGUGAACCAGUACCGUGAGGGAAAGGUGAAAAGCACCCCGGGAGGGGAGUGAAAUAGAACCUGAAACCGUGUGCCUACAACAAGUUCGAGCCCGUUAAUGGGUGAGAGCGUGCCUUUUGUAGAAUGAACCGGCGAGUUACGUUAUGAUGCGAGGUUAAGUUGAAGAGACGGAGCCGUAGGGAAACCGAGUCUGAAUAGGGCGCCUUAGUAUCAUGACGUAGACCCGAAACCAUGUGACCUACCCAUGAGCAGGUUGAAGGUGCGGUAAGACGCACUGGAGGACCGAACCAGGGCACGUUGAAAAGUGCUUGGAUGACUUGUGGGUAGCGGAGAAAUUCCAAACGAACUUGGAGAUAGCUGGUUCUCUCCGAAAUAGCUUUAGGGCUAGCGUCGACAUUAGAGAUUCUUGGAGGUAGAGCACUGUUUGGGUGAGGGGUCCAUCCCGGAUUACCAAUCUCAGAUAAACUCCGAAUGCCAAUGAAUUAUGGUCGGCAGUCAGACUGCGAGUGCUAAGAUCCGUAGUCGAAAGGGAAACAGCCCAGACCACCAGCUAAGGUCCCAAAAUAAUUGUUAAGUGGAAAAGGAUGUGGGGUUGCACAGACAACUAGGAUGUUAGCUUAGAAGCAGCUAUUCAUUCAAAGAGUGCGUAAUAGCUCACUAGUCGAGUGACCCUGCGCCGAAAAUGUACCGGGGCUAAAACAAUUUACCGAAGCUGUGGAUACCUUUAUAGGUAUGGUAGGAGAGCGUUCUAUGUGUGAUGAAGGUAUACCGUGAGGAGUGCUGGAACGCAUAGAAGUGAGAAUGCCGGUAUGAGUAGCGAAAGACAGGUGAGAAUCCUGUCCACCGUAAGACUAAGGUUUCCAGGGGAAGGCUCGUCCGCCCUGGGUUAGUCGGGACCUAAGGAGAGACCGAAAGGUGUAUCCGAUGGACAACAGGUUGAUAUUCCUGUACUAGAGUAUGUAGUGAUGGAGGGACGCAGUAGGCUAACUAAAGCAGACGAUUGGAAGAGUCUGUCUAAGCAGUGAGGUGUGAAUUGAGUCAAAUGCUUAAUUCUAUAACAUUGAGCUGUGAUGGGGAGCGAAGUUUAGUAGCGAAGUUAGUGACGUCACACUGCCAAGAAAAGCUUCUAGCGUUUAAACAUACUCUACCCGUACCGCAAACCGACACAGGUAGUCGAGGCGAGUAGCCUCAGGUGAGCGAGAGAACUCUCGUUAAGGAACUCGGCAAAAUGACCCCGUAACUUCGGGAGAAGGGGUGCUGACUUUAAGUCAGCCGCAGUGAAUAGGCCCAAGCAACUGUUUAUCAAAAACACAGCUCUCUGCUAAAUCGUAAGAUGAUGUAUAGGGGGUGACGCCUGCCCGGUGCUGGAAGGUUAAGAGGAGUGCUUAGCGUAAGCGAAGGUAUGAAUUGAAGCCCCAGUAAACGGCGGCCGUAACUAUAACGGUCCUAAGGUAGCGAAAUUCCUUGUCGGGUAAGUUCC